rfam:Oryza glumipatula chromosome 11, whole genome shotgun sequence.
UUUAAGUGCAACUAUAAGUUUCCGUACCCAAUUUUGAUCGUUCGUCUUAUUUAAUUUUUUUUAUAAUUAGUAUUUUUAUUGCUAUGAGAUGAUAAAAUAUGAAUAGUACUUUAUAUAUGACUUAUGUUUUUAAAUUUUUUAAAAAAAUUUUCAAAUAAGACGGAUAGUCAAAAAGUCGUGCAUGGAAAAUCAUGUCUGCAACGGAG